rnacentral:sRNA from 1 species
GCUGGGCGUGGUGGUGCAUGCCUGUAAUUCCAGCUACUUGGGAAGCUGAGGCAGGAGAAUCACUUGAACCCAGGAGGCAGAGGUUUCAGUGAGCCGAGAUCUUGCCACUGCAUGCCAGCCUGGGUGACAGAGUGAGACUCUGUCUCAA